CUUUAAAGCAUCGGCACACAGCACACCAGCAUUUUGGAAGAAGGGUGAGGUGAUAGGAGAAAGGGAAACAUAUAAUACAUUUCUAAGUGGCAGCAUAGGAGAAAGACUCGUGAAUGGAGUUGUCACGGAGCAACAGACUCUUGGCACAAUGGCUCGCUUCCUCCGAACACCGCUCGUUUGGUCAGACGCCCUUUCCUGGGGCACGCCCGGUGGAGGAAACGAGGGCAGCAUCAAGAGAGAAGUGAUUGUUUUAUGAAUGGGAACUAUUAAUAGAGUCUGGCCGAAGAUA